UACGUAGGGUGCAAGCGUUAAUCGGAAUUACUGGGCGUAAAGCGUGCGCAGGCGGUGAUGUAAGACAGUUGUGAAAUCCCCGGGCUCAACCUGGGAACUGCAUCUGUGACUGCAUUGCUGGAGUACGGCAGAGGGGGAUGGAAUUCCGCGUGUAGCAGUGAAAUGCGUAGAUAUGCGGAGGAACACCGAGGGCGAAGGCAAUCCCCUGGGCCUGUACUGACGCUCAUGCACGAAAGCGUGGGGAGCAAACAGG
rnacentral:rRNA from 1 species